GCGGGUCCGCCGGAGGCAGCGGAGAGGAGCCCGAGCACGGCGGGCUGCUGCAGCCCGGGGGGGCGGGGACCGCUGUUGUUCGGCCGUCUGACGGGGAGGGGGGUCCUGGUCCUUCAUCGCGGGCUCCCCCCAGGAAAACGGGCGGCAGAAUUGCGCUUUCCCCUUUGCAAACGAGCAAGUGGCCUGGCCGUCCCGCCCCGCGAGGACGUCGGGGCUAGCUCGGCGGCUGCGAUGUUGCCUGGUAAUUUUUUUUUCUCUUGGUUUUGACAGCGGCUCCCGCCUGGGCAAUUGGCUGGAAGAGUUGCUAUGAAGUGCCCUGGACCUUCGGAGAGCCUGAGACUUGCCCUCUUCCUGGAAAAUGCCUUAGCCAGCGAGGCUAGGAUAUGGAAAGUGCCAGUUUUCCAGGAUCUCAUCCUGAAGGGUACAGAUAUCUCUCUCUUGUGUUACGAGAAGGUGGUUCUCUGGAUUGCAGAAAUAAGCUCUCGGUUCCAAUUUUACCCUGAAACAUUUGCCUUAGCUAUCAGCAUCCUUAACCGGUUACUGGCAUCAGUAAAGGCCCAAUUAAAGUAUCUUGAGUGCAUAGCAAUUUCCUGCCUUGUCCUUGCAGCAAAAACCAAUGAAGAAGAUGAGGUAAUACCAUCGGUGAAGAUGCUUGCAGUGCAGAGUGGUUGUAAACGCUCUCCAGCUGAGAUCUUGAGAAUGGAAAGAAUUAUACUAGAUAAGCUUCACUGGGAUCUUUACACAGCAACACCAAUGGAUUUCUUAAAUAUUUUCCAUGCCAUGGUGAUGUCCAACUGGCCCCAUCUACUAAACGGGCUGCCUCAGAUGAAUCCUUCCCGCCAUGUCGCAUUCUUGACCAAACAGCUACAGCACUGUAUGGCAUGCCACCAACUAUUGCAGUUUAAGGGCUCCACAUUGGCUUUGGUGAUCAUCACCUUAGAGUUGGAGAGGCUGACUCCUGACUGGUUUCCUGUUAUUACUGAUCUGCUAAAAAAAGCACAGGUUAACAGCACCAAAUUCAUCCACUGCAAGGAGCGUGUGGAUCAACAGUUAAUGCACUUCCAGACAUCCAAUGCCAUUUAUAUUUUUUAUCCCACCAGUCAAGCCAUCCAGGCCCAUCCCCAGGCAAGGUUGCCCUACUCUUCUGAAUGGAAGAAUUCCUAUCAGGUGAGGCUGCGGGUCACUGGUCACCAGCCAGUUUCAACAGCUUUCACCUCUACUGCAGCCCAAAUUCCAGAUGACACCAUGGAGACAGAUGAAUACUAUGAUGGAUUCAGGUGCCUGUACAGCGAGGAUAGGGGAGCAGAUAGCGGAAGGGUGAGCAUGGGCAGCUUGUGCCCCCAGCUGAGGCCUGGAGAAGGCAGCUCCCCGUGUCCCCCCUUAGAGCCGCCCGAAAGGGACUAGCGGGAACCUUCCUGCCUCGGAAGCAGCGACUGCAGAACCAGGAUGUUCCCGCGAACAGAACAGCCAAUGCAACAGAGCAAAAGCCCUGCUUUGUUUUUCAGAGGAUAAUGACAAAAUGUGUUAUGUUUCAUAUCCUUCCUAAAUAGUGUUUGCUAACCCCAGUUUUUAUCAUUUAAGUAUAGAAAGUUGGGGAGAGGAGGGACUCACAAUCCUACAACUCAGGGAUCAGUUCAGCAGAGGGCUACAUACUGCACCAGAGAACUAAAUGCCUUGAGGUUUGGGUGGGUUUUUUUUUGUUUUUUUUUAAUAGUUGUGAUGAAAUGUGACAGAUUCAGCAUUUCAUCGAGCUCAUUGCAUUGCUCUCUUAUUAAAGCUAAUCCGACUUACCCCACGGAGAUGAAAGGAGCAGCCAUCAAGGAAGGGGGAGUUUCCACUGCUGGUUCCUUACAAAGAAACCCCAGCUGGGACCAAGGUUUUGAUUUAAUAGGAAAAAGACCAGGAGGCAAAACUCCCAGUUUUUCUUAAGGCCUUAUCCUGGAAUCCUAGGGUCUGAGGGCUGUGCUCCUUCCUGGUUAACCUAUUAAAGACCCCAUACAAAUUCCUGUGUGCUGUGGGAAAAGCCUUCUUGUGUGGCCCUCGCAGACCAGCUUGUGGUGUUCAGUUUUGUUUUGUCUUGCCAGACUGGACUAUGCAAAAUGCCUUUAACUACCCCCCCCACCUCCAAAAUCAGUUUUUGUUAACAGCUAAUUUCAAUAGCAAAACAGUUAAACUGACCUUUGUAGUCUGUUGAAGUCUCUACUCCACUUUUAAAACUAGCAUUACACUAUUUUUAAAAAAUAAAGGUUACUUUUUAAAAACUUUUUUUUUUUUUAACUAUAGGGCCAGCCUUUUUUAGAUAUUUUGUUAUAAUAGUACAAUAGUUCGGAGAUUUAAUCCAAACAGUACUGUCCAAGUAGCAAUACCACCCCUGCAAGUCCUGUCACAGAACAGACGAGGUUUUCAUCCAGACCUGCGCAGGCUAAAUGCUGAGGCGACAUCUCACGUAAUGACACAGGGCAGCAGCACGCAUCACUGCGGGAAGAAAGUUUCUGGCCUUCCUUCUCCUGGUUCCUUGUCUUACCUUACAGGAGCAAAAUUCCUGGACUUUGGGCUGUGCAGGACUGAUGCCCUGUGCAGCUCUGUCCGCAACGUAUUACACGUAGCUGCUGCCAGAACUGGCAUCGAGAAAAGUGAGUUUUGUGCAUCUGCAAGGAGAAAGCCAUGCUUUUCUUUUGCAACCGCCAAGAAAGCGGUGCUUAAGCAUUCCAAAAAGAAACAUUCAGCAUCAAAGACUUAAGUGCAAAUUACAGGUGUGAGCAGGUGGGAUCUCAGCCAGUGCUGAAACCCAGGAGGUCCCGCGAGGCGAAGUCAGAGCUACUGCAAACCGAGCGCGCCGCGGUGCGAGGGGAGCCGCGGCGGCGGCCCCGCGCUCGCUGCGGGGAGCCGGGCUCGGCGCGCUCGGGACGCUCCCCGUCCGUCCUGCCGGAGGGAAGGUUUGCGUCCCGUCGUGCGGCGCCUUCCUUUUCUACCACAAGCUGUGUCUUGGCUGCCCGACUUUUCGAGGAGGCGGGCUGUCGUCUGUAGUUUUCGUUAAAUAAAAUACAACCUCGGUCCGUGCGUUCUCAGCACCCUCCUUUACGACUGCGGCUGAAAGCUGGUGCCCGCGGAGAUCCUUGCGAGGCGCCAGGGUCCGUUUAGUUCUGUUUUUCUUCCCAUCCUUUCUUACGCCUCGUCUCAAACACCUUCACCAGCUGCAUUAGCCGGCGGGACGUAGCAGAGAAACUGCACGCGCAGCCGCGAGCACGCUGCGGCGCUGGGAGGGGAGCACCCAACCCGGCACCCGCGGGCCCCUCUGCGCCCCGCCGCUGCUUCUCCAAAGGACCCACCGGACCGACGCUCCUGCUGGGCCGCGGCAGGGUAAAAGCGCCGCCUUUCGCACCCCGGCGCCCCGGUUCUGCUGCCCGUUUCCGGGGAAAACUUUUUGUGUUGCAGACCAGGGGAGCAGCCGAAGCUUUCAAGCAGGCCCGCAGCAAACUCGCGUUCGACGACGUCUCCUUCGGAAUCCAGUAACGUUCCCGAGCGAAAGCUUCUUUCAUCAGAGAUUUGAGAUUCGCGGCCUUCCUCUCCCAUUCCAGAGGGCGCGGAGGCAGGCGCCGCCACCGCCGACGGCGGUUAAAACCCCAGGCGACGUACAGCGCGCCACGGCAGACGUCUCGGCCGCUGCCUCGCGUCGGCUCGGGGUGCCCGCGGUUAACGCCACCGCGUAAGCGGAUCUGCAGCUGCAUCCGAAGCCGCCUGCGGUAAGCAUCCGGGGAAUCGUUCUGUCCUCCGGGAAGUUUUCUGAGCGAUGCCGUCGCUGUUCGUCAACGCUGAGAUUUGGAGUCAACCAAAACACGGACGGGCGACGAGCACUAACUCACCCACGGGCACAGCGGCGCCCUGGCCGGGGCAGCGUCCGCCGGAGCGCAGCGCUCGCGGCUCCGUCCUCCAGGGACGCGGAGCAGGGCAGCGAGCGGAGACGCGCCGGCGGGGUGCCAGCGCCGGGGUGCGUUUUAUACCCAAACAUACGCAGAAAGGGGGUGAGCAGAGGAAAACGGGAAUAACAGCGAGUGUUGUGAACUUGACAGCAAACGUUUAACAUACAAAACGUGUUUUUGAGAUUGCUUGUUUAACAAGUCAGUUUUGUGUUUAUUAAACCCAACUUUGGUACAA